GCAUUGGUGAUUCUGUGGUAGAACUCUCACCUUCUAUGCAGGAGACCUGGGUUUGAUUUCCGGCCAAUGUA
rnacentral:tRNA from 1 species